AGUGAACGCUGGCGGUAGGCCUAACACAUGCAAGUCGAACGGCAGCACAGUAAGAGCUUGCUCUUACGGGUGGCGAGUGGCGGACGGGUGAGGAAUACAUCGGAAUCUACUUUUUCGUGGGGGAUAACGUAGGGAAACUUACGAUAAUACCGCAUACGACCUACGGGUGAAAGCAGGGGAUCUUCGGACCUUGCGCGAUUGAAUGAGCCGAUGUCGGAUUAGCUAGUUGGCGGGGUAAAGGCCCACCAAGGCGACGAUCCGUAGCUGGUCUGAGAGGAUGACCAGCCACACUGGAACUGAGACACGGUCCAGACUCCUACGGGAGGCAGCAGUGGGGAAUAUUGGACAAUGGGCGCAAGCCUGAUCCAGCCAUGCCGCGUGGGUGAAGAAGGCCUUCGGGUUGUAAAGCCCUUUUGUUGGGAAAGAAAAGCAGCAGGUUAAUACCUCGCUGUUCUGACGGUACCCAAAGAAUAAGCACCGGCUAACUUCGUG
rnacentral:rRNA from 1 species